CCUCUCGUAACGUAGGGGUAACGCGCUCUAUCUAGGGAACAGGGAGUCGUGAGUUCGACUCUCACCAAGAAGA
rfam:Aedes aegypti strain Liverpool supercont1.1330 genomic scaffold, whole genome shotgun sequence.